rnacentral:rRNA from 1 species
AAUAUUGGACAAUGGGGGCAACCCUGAUCCAGCCAUGCCGCGUGUGUGAAGAAGGUCUUCGGAUUGUAAAGCACUUUAAGUUGGGAGGAAGGGGUUUAGGAUAAUACGCUGAAGAUUUGACGUUACCAACAGAAUAAGCACCGGCUAACACGGACCCAGCAGCCCCGGUAAUACAGAGGGUGCAAGCGUUAACCGGAAUUACUGGGCGUAAAGCGCGCGUAGGUGGUUCAGUAAGAUGGGUGUGAAAUCCCCGGGCUUAACCUGGGAACUGCUUUCAUAACUGCUGAGCUAGAGUAUGGUAGAGGGUAGUGGAAUUUCCUGUGUAGCGGUGAAAUGCGUAGAUAUAGGAAGGAACACCAGUGGCGAAGGCGACUACCUGGACUGAUACUGACACUGAGGUGCGAAAGCGUGGGGAGCAAAC